rnacentral:tRNA from 1 species
UAGGAAGUAGUGUAGAGGAAGCACUGAGGGUUUUGAUUCCUCUAGGUGGGGUUCGAGCCCCCUCUUUCUAA